rnacentral:misc_RNA from 1 species
UACGGAGGGUGCGAGCGUUAAUCGGAAUUACUGGGCGUAAAGCGCGCGUAGGCGGCUUGAUAAGCCGGUUGUGAAAGCCCCGGGCUCAACCUGGGAACGGCAUCCGGAACUGUCAGGCUUGAGUGCGGGAGAGGAAGGUAGAAGUCCCGGUGUAGCGGUGAAAUGCGUAGAGAUCGGGAGGAAUACCAGUGGCGAAGGCGGCCUUCUGGACUCACACUGACGCUGAGGUGCGAAAGCGUGGGUCGCAAACAGG